rnacentral:rRNA from 1 species
GACGAACGCUGGCGGCGUGCUUAACACAUGCAAGUCGAACGGAAAGACCCUGCUUUUGUGGGGUGCUCGAGUGGCGAACGGGUGAGUAACACGUGAGUAACCUGCCCUUGACUUUGGGAUAACUUCAGGAAACUGGGGCUAAUACCGGAUAGGAGCUCCUGCUGCAUGGUGGGGGUUGGAAAGUUUCGGCGGUUGGGGAUGGACUCGCGGCUUAUCAGCUUGUUGGUGGGGUAGUGGCUUACCAAGGCUUUGACGGGUAGCCGGCCUGAGAGGGUGACCGGCCACAUUGGGACUGAGAUACGGACCAGACUCCUACGGGAGGCAGCAGUGGGGAAUAUUGCACAAUGGGCGGAAGCCUGAUGCAGCAACGCCGCGUGCGGGAUGACGGCCUUCGGGUUGUAAACCGCUUUCGCCUGUGACGAAGCGUGAGUGACGGUAAUGGGUAAAGAAGCACCGGCUAACUACGUG